rnacentral:lncRNA from 1 species
AUGUCUCCGCAGAGCUGCGCCGUUGUCUGCCUCACCCUGAUGCUGGCGGGGAGAAACCUGGGCUUCCUCGUGGAAAUCCCGCAGGAUGCAGUCAGUGGCACCGUGGGGCAGUCCGUGCUCCUGCCCGUCUCCUACACAUUCAACAGCUCCCCUCGCUUCCCAGUGGCAAUUAAGUGGACGUUUGGUCACCCCUCACAAGUAAUCAUCAUCGGCACAUUGCUGGACUGCUCCCUGGGUGCUGGGGGCGCUCCCAAGAACUGUACCGCAAAGUGUUUCCCCAGUGCUUCACGUUCACGCCGUGUUGAGCUCUUCCCCGAGAACGCAUCCCUGCUGCUGCAGGACCUGAAGCUCAGUGACAGCGGGGUGUACAACGUCAGCUUUGCACAGCAACAACAAAGCAGGCACAUCACCCUGACCGUGCUCCAGCAGCCUGUCCCCACAGGCCCUUCCAGCGAAGGCACCAGCAAUCAAGACCACACCCAUAACUACAUAAUUGGAGCUUGCUCAUUAAUCUUCCUCCUUCUGCUGUUCCUGGUCUUCUGCGUUUGGCGCUUGGUGCAGCAGAAGAAGAGGAGAAUCGUUAAACAACAGCAGGCCCUGAACACACAGGAGCCCCACGUGGACAACACUGCGGCGAGGGAAGUAAUGACCAUUUAUUCCAGAGUCGGAGACAGCUUUGAACAUCCAGAGCUGAGAGCAUCACCACAGGUCAUCUACUCAUCCAUAACCUCCCUCGAUUCCUGA